AUUGAACGCUGGCGGCAGGCCUAACACAUGCAAGUCGAGCGAGCGGCGGACGGGUGAGUAAUGCCUGGGAAUUGCCCAGUCGAGGGGGAUAACAGUUGGACACGACUGCUAAUACCGCAUACGAUCGGAUUGCCCAGGUGUGAUUAGCUAGUUGGCGAGGUAAUGGCUCACCAAGGCGACGCUCCCUAGCUGGUCUGACAGGAUGAGCAGCCACAGUGGAACUGAGAACCGGUCCAGACGCCUACGGGAGGCAGCAGUGGUGAAUAUUGGACAAUGGGGGAAACCCUGAUGCAGCCAUGCCGCGUGUGGGAAGAAGGCCUUCGGGUUGUAAAGCACUUUCAGCGAGGAGGCGUUACUCGCAGAAGAAGCACCGGCUAACUCCGUGCCAGCAGCCGCGGUAAUAC
rnacentral:rRNA from 1 species